GCCAGGGCUACACCGGAGAGCUGGCAGAAAACAAUCUCAAUUCACACAUGGAAAUUUCAGCUGGGAGCUGAGCAGAUCCACUUGUUUUGUGUCUCAUGUUGUGCAGCAAGACAAUGACUCACUGAGAUCCCAGCUGACCUCCAGCCAUGAUGAGUUUCCACCUUCCGUUUGCUGUUCUUCUCUUGCUCUCUCUGGCUGCUUCAGAGUGUAUCAGGAGAAGGUGGGCCAGGCAAGGCAGAUAAAUUACCAGCAAGGAGACUGUAGGGCUG